CACAAUAACAUUAUAUUAAAUCCACACCAUAAUAUUCAAAAAAAAAAUUCCAGAAAUUUAAAUCUUUAUUUGUAAAAUUUGGGAUUUUACAAAAAGACUAACAAGUGAAUGUCUUAAUACUUGGUGGUCUCCAAGUUCCACAUUGGUUAAUUUAUAAAAGUCCCAUAUUGGUUAAUUUAUAAAAGUCCAAGGAAAUUUUCCUUAUAAAAAGACUAACAAGUGAGACCUUAAUAGCCAAGUCCUACAUUGGUUAAUUGGUAAAAGUCUAAGUAAGUUUUUCUUAUAAAAAGAUCACCAAGUGAGACCUUAUUUUGGCUUAAAAAAGGCUGGUACAGUAACUCUUGGGCUGCUCUACCUUGGGCCGGAUUUUGACUUAAACUUGGGCUGAAUUUUGGUUUAAAGAAGGGCCGGUACAAGCAUGGUAAAAAUCAAUACCGAUUCGGUACCGACCAAGUAUACCGGUUCAACUGGUAUCGGUAUUCGUACCCAAUUUUGAGUACUUUCGGUAUUCGGUAUUCGGUAUUCGGUAUUCGGUCUAGUUCAGUCUAAUUUUUUACCGAUAAACACC
rnacentral:lncRNA from 1 species